CCUACGGGUGGCAGCAGUGGGGAAUAUUGGACAAUGGGCGCAAGCCUGAUCCAGCCAUGCCGCGUGAGUGAUGAAGGCCCUAGGGUUGUAAAGCUCUUUUGUGCGGGAAGAUAAUGACGGUACCGCAAGAAUAAGCCCCGGCUAACUUCGUGCCAGCAGCCGCGGUAAUACGAAGGGGGCUAGCGUUGCUCGGAAUCACUGGGCGUAAAGGGUGCGUAGGCGGGUCUUUAAGUCAGGGGUGAAAUCCUGGAGCUCAACUCCAGAACUGCCUUUGAUACUGAAGAUCUUGAGUCCGGGAGAGGUGAGUGGAACUGCGAGUGUAGAGGUGAAAUUCGUAGAUAUUCGCAAGAACACCAGUGGCGAAGGCGGCUCACUGGCUCGAUACUGACGCUGAGGUGCGAAAGCGUGGGGAGCAAACAGGAUUAGAUACCC
rnacentral:rRNA from 1 species